rnacentral:rRNA from 1 species
AUUGAACGCUGGCGGCAGGCUUAACACAUGCAAGUCGAGCGGGGUGAUGGUGCUUGCACUAUCACUUAGCGGCGGACGGGUGAGUAAUGCUUAGGAAUCUGCCUAUUAGUGGGGGACAACAUCUCGAAGGGGAUGCUAAUACCGCAUACGUCCUACGGGAGAAAUCAGGGGAUCACUUGUGACCUUGCGCUAAUAGAUGAGCUUAAGUCGGAUUAGCUAGUUGGUGGGGUAAAGGCCUACCAAGGCGACGAUCUGUAGCGGGUCUGAGAGGAUGAUCCGACACACUGGGACUGAGAGACGGCCCAGACUCCUACGGGAGGCAGCAGUGGGGAAUAUUGGACAAUGGGGGGAACCCUGAUCCAGCCAUGCCGCGUGUGUGAAGAAGGCCUUAUGGUUGUAAAGCACUUUAAGCGAGGAGGAGGCUCUUUUGGUUAAUACCCAAGAUGAGUGGACGUUACUCGCAGAAUAAGCACCGGCUAACUCUGUGCCAGCCGCCGCAGUAA